rnacentral:rRNA from 1 species
CCUACGGGAGGCAGCAGUGAGGAAUAUUGGUCAAUGGACGAGAGGCUGAACCAGCCAAGUCGCGUGAAGGAUGACUGCCCUAUGGGUUGUAAACUUCUUUUAUCAAGGAAUAAAACGAGGCACGUGUGCCUUUUCGCGAGUACUUGAUGAAUAAGGAUCGGCUAACUCCGUGCCAGCAGCCGCGGUAAUACGGAGGAUGCGAGCGUUAUCCGGAUUUAUUGGGUUUAAAGGGAGCGGAGAUGGGUUGUUAAGUCAGUUGGGAAAUUUAGCGGCCCAACCGUAAAAGUGCCAUUGAUACUGGCAGUCUUGAGUAAAGUUGAGGUAGGCGGAAUGCGUGGUGUAGCGGUGAAAUGCUUAGAUAUCACGAAGAACCCCGAUUGCGAAGGCAGCUUACUAACCUGUGACUGACAUUGAUGCACGAAAGUGUGGGUAUCAAACAGGAUUAGAUACCCUUGUAGUC